rnacentral:rRNA from 1 species
AACGAGACGCUGGCGGCAGGCCUAACACAUGCAAGUCGAGCGCGCCCUUCGGGGUGAGCGGCGGACGGGUUAGUAACGCGUGGGAACGUACCCUUUGGUAGGGAAUAGCCACUGGAAACGGUGAGUAAUACCCUAUGAGCCCUUCGGGGGAAAGAUUUUAUCGCCAAGGAUCGGCCCGCGUUAGAUUAGGUAGUUGGUGGGGUAAUGGCCUACCAAGCCUACGAUCUAUAGCUGGUUUUAGAGGAUGAUCAGCAACACUGGGACUGAGACACGGCCCAGACUCCUACGGGAGGCAGCAGUGGGGAAUCUUGGACAAUGGGGGCAACCCUGAUCCCAGCCAUGCCGCGUGAGUGAAGAAGGCCUUAGGGUCGUAAAGCUCUUUCGCCUGUGAAGAUAAUGACGGUAGCAGGUAAAGAAACCCCGGCUAACUCCGUGCCAGCAGCCGC